rnacentral:lncRNA from 1 species
GCUCCCUGCUGAGUCUCUAAUGGAGAAUCCAUUCCUUACCUCUUCCAUCUUCUGGGGGCUGCAGGUGUUUCUUGGCUGUGGCUGCAUCCUUCUCUUCUCUCUCUGCCUCCAUCUUCACAUGGCCCUCUCCUCCUCUCCCUGUGUGUCUCUCCUAUGUGUGUCACUUAUAAAGACACUUGUCUUUGGAUUUAGGGCCCACCCAGAUAAUCCAGGAUGAUCAUACCUCGAGAUCCUUACCCUAAUUACAUCUGCCAAAGACCUUUUUUCUAAAUAAGAUCACAUUCACACCUUCCAGGGGUUAGGGCAUAGACAUAUCUUUUGGGGGGCCACCAUUUGACCCACUACACUACACCUGGAAAAAUAUGUUCUGAUAUGGAAAUGAGAGAAGAGUCCUUUUUCCCCCUUUGUCCUCUAAAACCAGGACAGAGAAGACAACAAACGUCUGGAGUCUCUUGCCCAAACCAGGACAAGAACUUGUAUCCUCUUUCUCCCUUUCCAGCCCCACGAAAAUCAACAAAUCGUUUUCUCCUGAUAUCCUUUCCGGUUCCAUCAGGAGAUUUGAACCAGAUGAUAGAGAGGGCUGUGUCAGGCAUGGGAAUGGAAUUGGAUUCCCAAGAUGGUGUGGACGUACCCUAGAAGGUAGUUACGUUAGUUUUCUAUCGCUGCAGUAAUAAAUACCACAAAGAUAUUGACUUAAAACAAGACCCAUUUAUUAGGUCACAGUGUCCAUGGCUCAAGUGGGUUCUCUCUUUUGGGUCUCAUGACCCCAAGCCUGGACUCUUCUCUGGAGAAUCCACAUCUAGGCUCAUUUGGGUUGUUGGCCAAAUUCAGUUCCGUAGGAUUGUAGUACUGCGGUCCUCAUUUCUUUGCUGGCUGUCAGUCUAGAAUUGUUCUCAGCUUCUGGAGGCCACCCACAUUCCUUAGCUUGUGGCCCACUCCAUCUUCAAAGCCAGAAAUGGUGCACUGAAUCCUUCUCCUGCUUGGGCUCUCUUCCUUCCACUUCUGCCUUCUGCUGCUUUUAAAGGGCUCAUGUGAUUACACUGGCCCCACUCAGAUAAUGCAGGAUAAUCUUAGCUAAAAGUCAGGUGACUUAUAACCUUAACUGCACCUGCAAGGUCCUUUGACAGCAGUAUCUAGAUUAGUGUUUGGUUGAAUGGCUGGAGGAUGGGAAGCCUGGGAGGAUAUCUUUAGAAUUCUGCCAACCGUAGCAAUGCUGAACCUGUGACCUCUUAGUGUCCCGGCACAGCGACCUUCCAGCUUAAUCACAGCAGCUGGGGGUUUUCUUUUGAUUUGCUGUUACUGUUGUGGUUUGGUUGCAAGGAAUUAAAAUUAGGUACACAUAAUAAAACUGUUGGCUACAAAUUGCAGAUUAUUAUUGGUGAAAAGUAAUAGAAACCAAAUCAGAGAUUAUUGGUUCCAAGUAAUAGUUUUUUUGGUUUGUUUAUAAUAAUAGAAACGCACUUAAAUAAGCUGGAGCUGCACCGAGACUUUAUCAGAAGAAAGAGGAGCAGCUCGUGGAGCAUAAGGGAUCACAGGCGAGAUUGGAACGGGACGCUGUAAAGCCUGGAACUGGACUCUGUAAGGACUGGAACUGGAUGCUGUAAAGGCUUGAACUGGACGCUAUAAAGCCUGGAACUGGACUCUCUAAAGCUAUCAGCAACCGAAGCAUCUACUCGUUCUGUCUCUUACUGGGAGAUGUAGAGUUUCUGCUGAUUAUCGUGAGUCUGCUCCCUCUUCUCUCACUUUCUGUAGCUCUGCUUAGUUCACUUUAUCCACAUGGCAGAAGUGUCCACCUCAUCUAUAAGGCCUACCAGACCAAGAACUCAAGGAAAGCUUGAUCGGCCUGAGUUCUAAUUUCAUAUUCACCGAAAAGAGUAUCUGCAAAGCUUUCGUCAGGCAUCCACAUCUGGUCCAGUUAGCUGUGGUCACGCGGGCGGGGCACAUGGCCUGUUGGCCGCUCAGCAAGGCUGACUCUCAGAGACACAGCUGCAGGCAGGCAAGGUUGGAAAGGCCUCCGCUACUCCUAGUUUUCUAGGAAAUAUUGUGUUUCAGGAUUAAUCAAGGGGAAUUCCUUGGGCUUGGAAUUUGAUGGCCUAUUAAAUACCACAAAAUUCUUACUUGAUUUUCUGAUUAUGUUUUUAUCUUGAUGGCCAUCUUUUUAUAAAUUUUCUUAAAAUAUGUUUGUAAUUGAACCCGAUCCUUCUACUCUGUUUUGAAGAAAGCAGAGUACAGUCUUUAUUCUUAUCAUAGAUAUUGUCUCCAGGAACUUUCCCAUAUUUCUGGGUAUAGACAAUAUGAGUUGAUAUCCUUGUGGGUAAUGUGGACCUUUUAUUCGUGGGCAACUUUUGCAAAGAGGCUCCAAAGGUGAGAAAUGCAAGUGGAAGGGAAAAUUCAGCUGAAAGAAUGGAGGAUGGAGAAUUCAUGAGGCCCAAAGUCAGAAGGAUACGAAGAAUGCAAAAUCUGCAAGUGUAUUUAGCCAAGCCACAUGGAGGGAAUUGUUUUAACCACUGAACUUUGAUCAGAUUCCCCAAAACAGGCAUUUCUCCUCACUUUCUUUCUUUCCUUCUCUUUAUGUCCCUCUCUCCUCUGAUUUUCUUGAAGUGUUAAAAGAAUGUUGCUAGUUCCUUUCUUAACUUCUUUAUGGAGCUAAUUACAAAAACAGAAAUAAGAGGAAAGUACACUUUGACCAUUUGUUAAAAAAAAGUUAUGGUUUAUACAAAUAGCUGGAGUUUUCCAGAUAUGGAAUAGACCUUUCCAGUGCCUUGGUGAAUCCAUUUGCAGAAAGAUUCGAGGAAAGCUCUAAAUACAGUCAGUGCCAGUUCUUGCAGGAGGUGUGGGAGUUUGUUUCUCUACAUCUCCAACAAGGGUGGGUGCCUUCGGGAAGUUGCCUCAAUAAUGAGAUUUGAGCACACUUUCUGAUGGACUUUAUUCCCCCGAUAGGGCAUGAGUUUGAUAGACGUCUUCUCUAUCACAUGUUGUUUCCCUUCCAAGAAAGCAUGAGUUAUCUGGACUUUUUUCCCCUAAAUUACAUGGAAAGAUAGAAAAGAGGGAGGGAGGAAGCAGAGAGGGAAAAGAGAGUAUUUUAAAAGCUAAAACCAACAUCAAACCUUACUAAGGCAGAGGUUGAUUGUUAAAUAAAAUAACGCCGUUAAUGGGUAGUCAGAGUGGUUCUAAACAGAGCAACACGUGUGAAUUUUGCACGUCUCUAAACCACAUUUAAUAGUGCUUGUAGACAAAAAAUACAAUCACAAGUCAAGUCUAUGCUAAAGAAAGCAUUAAAGAUCAUUAGGAUACAUUUAAUAUUAAAAGACUUUGCUUCUGUCUUAAAAAUGUUCUGUGACUUUGUCUUUUCUACAAUUCUGUUGGAACGUUUCUCCACUCACUCUGGUCAUUCCAAUUGCAUGAACCUAUUCUCUAUUUCCUAUACAAAGCUGCUGUCCUUUUGACAAUUUCAUUGUUGUAUAAAAUGAUAACACAAAAGUAGGUUUUUUCCCAUAAUUUCAGCGUUGCCAAUUAUCUGGAUCAUCCAAACAGUGCCGACACAUUUUGUUCCGACUCUAAUUUGACAGAGGACAUAGCCAAAGGGAAAGAUUUAUCUCAUUCUACGCUCAAACCCUUCCCUGUUUUGCGUGAACAGCUGAUUAUAGAGAUCAGGAAUUUCAUUCUAUUGACUAAUAACCAAACAGAAUUCCCUGUGCUAAGUGCUCUGGCUGCAUCUUGCCUAAAGACCUGGGGGAAAAGUCUGUCCUCCUUGUAACAUUUUCUGAUAAGCACCCCAGCUGGACGGCAUCUGUGAAGGGUUCUCUAAGGCAUAUUUCCACUAGUCAGAUGCUAUGCAUCUUGUUUAUGGGAAAAUAAAACUUGAUUCCCAUUUUUGGAGUCAACUAAAUGGAUUCUUACUAAGUCUCCAUUUGGGAGAAGGAGGCCAUCCAUUAAAAUAUCUAUAUCUGGA